GAUGAACGCUGGCGGCGUGCCUAAUACAUGCAAGUCGAGCGAAUGGAUUAAGAGCUUGCUCUUAUGAAGUUAGCGGCGGACGGGUGAGUAACACGUGGGUAACCUGCCCAUAAGACUGGGAUAACUCCGGGAAACCGGGACUAAUACCGGAUAACAUUUUGAACCGCAUGGUUCGAAAUUGAAAGGCGGCUUCGGCUGUCACUUAUGGAUGGACCCGCGUCGCAUUAGCUGGUUGGUGAGGUAACGGCUCACCAAGGCAACGAUGCGUAGCCGACCUGAGAGGGUGAUCGGCCACACGGGGACUGAGACACGGCCCAGACUCCUACGGGAGGCAGCAGUAGGGAAUCUUCCGCAAUGGACGAAAGUCUGACGGAGCAACGCCGCGUGAGUGAUGAAGGCUUUCGGGUCGUAAAACUCUGUUGUUAGGGAAGAACAAGUGCUAGUUGAAUAAGCUGGCACCUUGACGGUACCUAACCAGAAAGCCACGGCUAACUACGUGCCAGCAGCCGCCGUAA
rnacentral:rRNA from 1 species